CUUACGUAACAGUAAUGUGCCACAUGUUCACAUUUGUAUGAAUCAUUUCCCUUUCUCAAGGUUUUGCAUUUUGUCUUCAAAAUUAAAAUUGAAAUAUUUUCUUAAAUAGUCCGGGUGACCUGAACAUGAGAGAAAUAUAUGCACCGAUAUAAGAACAAAGAUCGUCUGAAUCGGAGGAAAUAUUCUUGGAUCCCGGUGGUGAUGGCUUUUUUAGUGAAAUGAAAUCUUCCGAUUUUAUCAUUAACGGGAGACCAGGUGUCCUAUAAAUGUGAAGACAUGAGAACGAUGUUUUUAGGAAUGCUCAGAAGUAAUUACCACAUAAAGAAUACCAAGGAUGAGUCUACCAAAUUGUCUUUACAAAUGUCCAAAUCAGGCGGAAAUUCCAGACUACUCAAUGACAUGUUUUCGUGAUAAAUUAUAUUUAAAACUGGUCUAAUUUACUCGUGUGUCGUGUGCCCCCUUCAAGCCAAUCCUUCCGAUAAAAAACAGCGCUUUGUUUUAGCCGAUGCUUAUUUGUUUAUUAGAGAUUUAAAGAUAUAUUGAACCUAUCAUAAUAGAGGAGUUUUGCAAAGUCUUUUUUUAUUUCAUUUUCUAUUUAUUUUUUUCUACAAGGAAUCAAAUUUAAGAGAAUGCAGUUUGUUUAAAUCCAAUGAUAUUACUUUAGAAGAUGUAGUUUUAUAUAACUUAAGAUGUACUCGUACUUUUAUAAAUUAAUAUGUAAUUUUAUAAUAUGAUUUUAAAUCAGACUAACUGAUCUGCCAAAAAGAAAUAUAUCUCCUUUAAAGGUACUUCCAAUUAAUGGUAAAUGAAUAAUAAUAAUGUUUAUAUGAUAACACUGUUUUAUGAUUAAAUAUCAAUAUUGUUUUCAUAUUCCCUGUAAUUUUUGUUUCGUUUUAUGAUACUGUGCGUUUUGAAAAUUAAGGAUCACGCUUUUUUGAAAUAGAAGAAUAUUAGGAAUUAUUGAAAAAACAAUUUAGAAAUAUUUAAAAACCUUUUUCUCAACAACCAUUUUGUAAGGAAAGCUGAAAUUUGUGUGAAAGCAUCUUCAGCUACUCUAGAUUCAGUUUUGAAAAUCAU